GAUGAACGCUGGCGGCGUGCUUAAUACAUGCAAGUCGAGCGAACGGACGAGAAGUUUGUUUCUCGGAUGUUAGCGGAGGACGGGAGAGAAACACGUGGAAAACCUACUUAUAAGACGGGGAAAACUACGGGAAGCGGUAGCAAAUACGGGAGAAUAUUUUGAACCGCAGGGUGCAAAAGUGAAAGACGGUCUUGCGGGCAGUAAUAGAUGGAUCCGCGCUGCAUUAGCUAGUUGGUAAGGUAACGGCUUACCAAGGCAACGAUGCAUAGCCGACCUGAGAGGGUGAUCGGCCACACUGGAACUGAGACACGGUCCAGACUCCUACGGGAGGCAGCAGUAGGGAAUCUGCCGCAGUGGGCGAAAGCCUGACGGAGCAACGCCGCGUGAGUGAUGAAGGUCUUCGGAUCGUAAUACUCUGUUAUUAGGUAAGAACAUAUGUGUACGUAACUGUGCACAUCUUGACGGUACCUAAUCAGAAAGCCACGGCUAACUACGUG
rnacentral:rRNA from 1 species